CAGAAUCAACGCUGGCGGCGUGCCUAACACAUGCAAGUCGAACGCGAAAAUGGAGCAAUCCAUGAGUAGAGUGGCAAACGGGUGAGUAACACGUGGGUGACCUGCCUUCGAGUGGGGGAUAACGUCCCGAAAGGGACGCUAAUACCGCAUAAUAUGCUGUCUUUUAAGAGAGAGACAUCAAAGCCGGGGACCGCAAGGCCUGGCGCUUGAAGAGGGGCCCGCGCCUGAUUAGCUAGUUGGUGGGGUAAUGGCUCACCAAGGCAACGAUCAGUAUCCGGCCUGAGAGGGCGGACGGACACACUGGGACUGAGACACGGCCCAGACUCCUACGGGAGGCAGCAGUGGGGAAUUUUGGACAAUGGGGGCAACCCUGAUCCAGCCAUUCCGCGUGAGUGAAGAAGGCCUUCGGGUUGUAAAGCUCUUUCAGCAGGAACGAAACGGUGGUCCCUAAUACGGACUACUAAUGACGGUACCUGAAGAAGAAGCACCGGCUAACUACGUG
rnacentral:rRNA from 1 species